AAACUAGGAUUAGAUACCCUAUUAUUCUAAAUUAAGUUAAUUAUAUUGGAGAUUAAAUGUUAAACAUUAAAUUUAGAUAAUUUGGCGGUAUUUUAGAAAGUUAGAGGAACCUGUUAAUUAAAUGAUAGUCCACGAUAGGGAUGACUUAAUAUAUUUUUAUGUAUUGUUGUUUAAAUAUUAGUUUAGGAGAAUUUAAUAAAGAUUUAAUAUAAAUAAAAUAAUUCAAAUCAAAAUGUAGAAUUGUUAAGUUUAAAUGGGUUACAAUUAAAAAUAAUAUUGGAAAUUGAAUUUAAAAUAUUUAGUUGAAAAAGGAUUUAAUAGUAAGGUUAUAAAAUUUUAUAAUUUGAAUAAUAAAUAAAGUAUGUACAAAUUGCCCUCAUUUUUCA
rnacentral:rRNA from 1 species